GUAUCUGAACCGGGAAAAUGCUUGACAUUGAAAACUACCAGCUAAGAUGGAUGUGACAACUAAGGCAGGAACAGCGAGUGUCCACCCACGAUGAAGCGCGCCAGUUUGUGCUGAAACCAAAAAGUUGUCAGUUGCCCCAAGUGCAGACUGUAUUACAACAGGACGACAACUAGAGAACUGCUUUCAGUCAGAGUCAAGCGUAAAACACUCACCUCCCUAAACCUUGGACAACAGCAAAAA